UUUAUAGUUUUUAAGUAUAGUUAGUUUAACAUACACUAGAUGACUAACCCCUCUUCAUUUAGUACGUCACUUUUUUCUGCUCUGCUUCAGUUGAGGACUAAAAUUUAUCUUGCUACCACCUAUAGAAGGAUGGGGCUCACUUCCCUCCUCGGCCUCUGGUUUUCUUCUAAUAAUAUCUGGUGUCCGUGUUUCUGAGUCUCCUCCUUUUUGUGUUCUAAGGAAGUGUUCUUGACGCAACAUGAAUGCGUUGGCUGCAACUAGUCGGAAUUUCAAGCAGGCUGCAAAGCUUCUGGGUUUGGACUCCAAGCUGGAAAAGAGUUUGCUCAUCCCAUUCCGAGAAAUCAAGGUUGAAUGCACGAUCCCAAAAGAUGAUGGCACUUUGGCAUCAUUUGUGGGAUUUAGGGUGCAACAUGACAAUGCCAGAGGCCCAAUGAAGGGUGGAAUCAGAUACCACCACGAGGUUGAUCCAGAUGAAGUCAAUGCGUUGGCUCAAUUAAUGACUUGGAAGACAGCGGUAGCGAAUAUUCCGUAUGGUGGAGCAAAAGGUGGCAUAGGAUGCAGCCCAGGAGAACUAAGUAUUUCUGAGCUUGAGAGACUUACCAGGGUGUUCACACAAAAGUUACAUGAUUGUAUUGGCAUCCACACUGAUGUUCCAGCUCCUGAUAUGGGGACUAACUCACAGACUAUGGCAUGGAUACUUGAUGAGUACUCGAAGUUUCAUGGCUAUUCACCUGCAGUUGUGACUGGAAAACCUGUUGAUCUUGGUGGAUCUCUUGGUAGAGAUGCAGCAACUGGAAGAGGAGUCCUAUUUGCAACAGAGGCCCUGCUUGCAGAGUAUGGGAAAAGCACUUCAGACCAGCGGUUUGUAAUACAGGGUUUUGGUAAUGUGGGUUCUUGGGCAGCUCAACUCAUUAGUGAAGCUGGUGGAAAAGUUAUUGCAGUCAGUGAUGUCACAGGAGCAGUCAAGAACUGCAAUGGUCUUGACAUUCCAAAACUCGUUGAACACUCCAUGGAGAACCGUGGGGUCAAAGGUUUCAGUGGUGGAGAUGCUCUUGAUCCAAAGUUGUUGCUAACUGAGGACUGUGAUGUUCUUGUUCCAGCUGCACUUGGUGGUGUAAUCAAAAGGGAAAAUGCAAAUGACAUAAGGGCCAAAUUCAUUAUUGAGGCAGCAAAUCACCCAACUGACCCAGAGGCUGAUGAGAUCUUAUCGAAGAAAGGUGUUCUUAUUCUGCCAGACAUAUUUGCAAACUCAGGUGGUGUUACAGUUAGUUAUUUUGAGUGGGUUCAGGUUUUGUUCGCAGUUCAAAUCGGCUCAACCCUCAACUCUCUAGCUUGGUUUAUUACCGACCUCACCUCCAGAGCCUUGCAGCAACACAAGGUUAGUCUGCCAUAAUUAAGACGGCCAAACCUUUGAUGCCAAAGCAUAAAAUUACCACUGGAUGCACUGAAGAAUAUCCAAGGGUUCAUGUGGGAUGAAGAGAAGGUGAACUUUGAGCUGAAGACAUACAUGACCAGAGGUUUCAAAGAUGUGAAGGAAAUGUGCAAGACCCACAACUGCAAUCUCCGCAUGGGAGCCUUCACCCUUGGAGUCAACCGGGUUGCACGAGCAACCGUCCUGCGAGGAUGGGAAGCAUGAGGGCAAGGUUUUGCUUUUCUUUGUUGCAUGAAAUAUAAUAAGUUCCUGAUUAUCUGAAUUUAAUUUUUAAUAAUGAGCAUGUCUUUUGUUGGAUGGCUCAUACAUCUUUCAAGAAAUAUGAUGGGAAAUUUCAAACGAAUUUUAUGUA